rnacentral:lncRNA from 10 species
GGAGAUGGUUGUGGGGGGGUGGCCUCCGUAUGUUGCCCAGGCUGGUAUUGAACUCCUGGCCUCCAGCAGUCCUCCAGCCUCAGCCUCCCAAAGUGCAGUUGGUGGAUGUGGGCAGCAAGCCACCCAGGUGCCGAGGCAAGAGACCGAGGGCAUGAGCUGUUCCAGUAUAAUAAAAUAUAUAAAAUAAGAAUAGUUAUACUAGAUAUAGAUCUUAGAUAUGAUUAUAUAUGAAUCAUUAAUCAUUAGUUUGUAGUAAUUAUUCUUUAUUCCAAUAUUAUAAUAAUCCUCGCUCUACAAUCAUAACCUAGGAAAAACCAGGCCAUACAGAGAUGGGAGCUGAGGGGACAGUGAGGAGUGACCAGAAGACAAAGAGUGCGAGCUUUCUGUUAUGCCCGGACAGGGCCACCAGAGGGCUCCUUGGUCUAGCAGUAACGCCAGCAUCUGGGAAGACACCUGUUGCCAAGCCGACCGUGGUCUAGCGGUAGCGUUAGUGUCAAGGAAAAACACCCGCUACUUAGCAGACCGGGAAAGGGAGUGUACAGUGAGAUCAGGAUGAGGGUGGUGAGGUGGUGAUCAGGGGGACCCAUGCUUCUGUUCAGGGGGUUGGCAGAAGCCAGCAAGGCUUGGGGUUUCCCUGUUUGGAGCUCUCCAAGUUGAGAGUGCAGAGGAGUGUGAGAUGCGUGUGAAAAUGCAAACUUGGCUCUCCCUGGCUGGAGGCUGGCAUUGGGUGAGUCUCUGGUAGGACCAGGCCAUGUAUACUUUUUAAGCUUUUUUAUUCUUGAAAAGUUCAAAGAUAUACAAAGAUAGACUAUGCAGGAUAAUGAGCCCCCACAUACUCCGCAUCUCUUGUCUGUAAUUAUCAGCUCGUGGCUACCUCUACCUCUCCCCUCUACCUCUUGUCUCAUCUCUACCUCUCCCCC